GGUUGCAUCACGUCGUGCAACGGUCGGCGUCUUGGUGGUGGUUGGUUAGGCGGACGCCGCUUUUAUUUCCGAAGCAGUUUGUCGGUUUGUCUCCUUGGCUGUUAUACAUUGUGGCAUCGCUGGCGUUCUAGAAGACCGGUGCCUAGACUGAUGGGCAGUAUGAACGCAUCGUUGACAUCGUACAACUUUCGUAAGAAAGAACAACGUUGUCAGUACAACUUUGUCAGCCGGGCCUCCGUGCACAGUUGAUAUCCGCCGAUCGGCCAUUAAAAUGCCGCACAACCACCUCAUAUAGUUGCCUCAGACGAAGAAAAUGAUGUUCUGCGCGUCUAUACCGACUUAACUGGUGACACACCGUCCUACAACUCACUGGGGGGAACACUGUGAUCUGAAUAUUUCGGUUACCCUGGUCCCUCAAGCUCAAUUGAAGAAGUCAUUAUGUAUUGAGGUACCUCAUCCACUACAGUGCCCUUCAAAUUCAUCAGACAUUGGUGCUCCUGGUACAGUACUGUUACCUGCUCUAAAACUGAUUUGUUGUAUUAGGAAGGGAACAGCAUGUUGAGGCACGAAAUUGUCUAGCUUAAUUUGUGUUGCUGUUCUAUCCAAUUUGCCAUCUGGGCAAUGCAUUCUGAUUGAAGCAUAA